ensembl:lncRNA
GGGGUAUUUGGGAGGUGGGCUUUAGGCAUAUCUAUGGCAUUUUAUUUCUUAGAUUGACAGACCCACUAGAAAUGUGGCAAAGUAUUAACAUCUAUGGCCUUGGAUGUAUACACUAUUUUAUAAUUUUUGAAAAGUUGCAAAUAAGUAAAUAAAGAAGAGACAUGUUGUCAGGUUAUUUCCUUGUAUAAGGCUUCCCUUCAUUUUCUCCGUCCUAGCCGCCUUGGCAUGUGCAGUUCUCCCUCUUAACCCACUUCCAGUUGUCGCCACUGCCCUAGGCAAAGUGCACAGGUGUUUCUGGUCCUCUUUAUGUUGGAAAAUCGAAUUCCGCUGUGUUGUAUUUAAUCAGGGCUCCUAUUUUCCUGUGGGGAGAGGGUGUCAGCUCCUGGAAAUCAGCCCCUCGGCAGUCAGCCGCCGGCUGUUGUCCCCUGAGCAGACACGGGCCGGGGCAGACACAGGCCUCUCCUCUGUCAACGCGAGCAGACGAGACAUCAGCAUGGCCAUCUGACUGCGUCGCCGGAGCCCUGUGGAGUGACAGUGUCGCGAAGGGAAGGGAAGGCGCUGGCAGGCGGGGACCCAGCAGAGCCUCGGUGAGCAGCAGUCAGGCAGGACCUGUGCACACGGCACAGCGGGGACCAAAGUAUCUCGAGAAUCCACUUUGAAAACAAAAUGUGAUCAGCAGGUGCCACCAUCUUUUGUCUUAUUAAAAAUCCUAUUUUUACAAGAAGCGCGCAUAUGCUUUCCUUCCUUGAGAAGCGGCACUUAGGCGUAGACGCUGUCCAUGCGACGUCCACCAUCUUCCCCUCAGCCUCGUCGUGGUCACUGAUAGCCCCACCGACCAGAGAAGACCUUGGUGUUAGCGAGGGCGCGGCAGGGGCAGGACUCUGGGUCACCACCCGUGAACGCCCCACCUCCCCUUCCUCUAUCUCUCCUCCUCCUCCUCCACCACCGCUUCUCUCCACCUUCUCCUUCCUCUUCCUCCUCCCCUCUUCCUCUCUUCUUUCUCUUCCUUUUCCUCUUCUUCUCCUUCCUC